rnacentral:lncRNA from 1 species
GUGACAGCUCGGGGCACUGGCCUCGUGUCAGUGAGAAGGGGCCACAGGUGGUGACUCCCCUCCCCAGCGCUUGUGGGGGCUGGGCCUUCUCCCUAGAGGGCUUGAAACAUCGUUCCCAGGGGCAGACAGGGGGCAUGUGCCAUGUCUCCUGCUCGAGUUUCCCCCAUCAACUUCCCCUCCUGAAGCUCCCGGGCUGGCCGCCCCCUGGAAGCCAGCUGCAGGCCUGUGGGAGCAUGGAGUCAGCACUUCACCAGGGGGUGCCAUUCGUCAGUGCCCUGUGCCGGGACACAGCAGCCAGCCCUCCCACCCACAGGCUCCUACCAGUUGCCCCCACGAGCAGGGAGAGGAGCAGCAUCACCGCGAGCAUCUUGCCCCCCAGGUAGGCGCAUCGCGUCGCCCCUUUGCUCCCUGGCCCUAUAUCCCCUGAGGGGGGCAGCCACGCCCCGUUCCUGGGCCCCAGGAGCCAAUACGAGGUGCCGUGGGGAGCCCCCCUCCGCGGUGCAGGGGGUGGGGCAGGUUUGGUUUCUCCAGGAGGGCCAGGAAUAGCAACUGACAUGAGUGCCAAACACUUCCUGCCCCCCCAGGAAACCUCAGUGUCCACAAGCACCCCAGGCUGAAGCAGCUCAGAG